GUUAUCUUUAAGUGCAGGUGAGGUCUUGGGUCUGCAAGCUAAGUUCUUGGAUUUGAGUUUUGCUUGAGGUACUGGACUGAUGUUUGCUUGUUGGAGGUAAGGUUCUGGAAUAAUACUCCAAUCAGCUUGACUGUUUUCUCUGCACAGGCCCACUACAGGGCCUGUCCAGGUUUUUGUUCCAGCACUGAGGUACUGCUGACCAUGCGACAAGCAGAGGGCAAGGUUCUGCCAGCCUUCCAGAUCUCCACCCUGAACCGCUUGGCCCCCUCUGAGACUGACUGGGACUCUAAUCACUGGCCACUGAAGGUAAGUCACAAACUUUUCCUAAUGCUUGUCUUAAUAUCUUAUGUUAAAGUUUUCUGCAGAGGCGGAGUUAAACUGCUGUCAGUCAUCAUCUCCAGGAGUCUCCACACUAGACCAAGUAAAUUUCUCUGAGCAUUUCACACACUCUGAACACUACACAGACCCAUCAAAUAACAUUUUUAUAUUUUGUCUUUAGUUUUUAUACAGUGUUGGGUGAGGAGCUAGAGGUGGUCAAGUACUGCUGCAAGAUCAUGGAUCUGUGAGUGGAGUUGCAGUUUGAGCUGGAGGCAGUGGAGAAGCUUUACCUGGAGGUCGUGGAUCUGCAAGAGUUCUUGGAUUGAAGACUUUAUCUUGAUCUACUGGGCUGAUGCUCAUUCCUCCCAGGUAAGUUUGCAGAAUGAUGUUGAUACUCCAUUAGCUCAACGGUGUCUUCCUCUGCGCAGGCCCGGGUGUUCACACCAGCGCUGGGGUACUGUGAAACGUGUGCAGCAGAAGGCGAGAGUCUCUCCUUUCAGAUCCUCACCUAGGACUGAUUUGCCCCUCAGAUGUAAUGGGACUGAACAUUGGGGACUUCAUAGUUUUGGCACAUCUGUAAUUCACUAAAGGUAAGGUGUGUUUGUUCGUUCUCUUUUCCUGUUGCUCGUGUUAAUGAGGUUUCUGCAGGUCUAAGCAUGGAGCUGUUCUGCAUGCACUGAUGAAGAUCUGGUUGCAGCAGAUGGAGGUCCUGAAGAGAGGAAUCCAGGAGUCUGAUCAAGAUGCUGCACGUGGUUCAGGACUGCUCAUCGCUGAGGACGCAUGGUUUAGUAGACUUUUAUUCUCUAAAUGAAUAUGUUGGUAUAAAAGAACAAACUGCUUUUUUAUAUUAACUAAUGUUUUCUGAGUGUUCUAGGCUUCAUGCUGAUGGUUUACUCGCCAGAAGAUCUGCAGGAUCCUUCAUAAUAUCUGACAUAAAUUAAUUCACAAUAAUGUGAGUGUGGCACUGCACUACAGACAGCACUAAAACUGAUGAUAUUUGUUCACUAAUACUGGUCUGCCAUUUUGAGUGCAGGUGGAAACUCGAGCUGCAGUUGAAGCAGUGAAGAAGCUUUGCUGGAGGUGCUGGAUCUGCAAGCUCAGUUCUUGGAUUUGAGUCUUGCUUGAUGAAGUGGACUGAUGUUUGCUUAUCUGAGGUAAGUUUUGUGGAAUGAUGUUGAUACUCCAUUAGCUCAACGAUGUCUUCCUCUGCGCAGGCCCAGGUGUUCACACCAGCGUUGGGGUACUGUGGAACGUGUGCAGCAGAAGGUGAGGGUCUCUUCUCCCAGCCUUUCAGACCCCCACCUAGAACAGGUUUGCCCCUCAGAUGUAAUGGGACUGAACAUUGGCGACUCCAUAGUUUUGGCACAUCUGUAAUUCACCAAAGGUAAGGUGUGUUUGUUCGUUCUCUUUUCCUGUUGCUCGUGUUAAUGAGGUUUCUGCAGGUCUAAGCAUGGAGCUGUUCUGCAUGCACUGUUGAAGAUCUGGUUGCAGCAGAUGGAGGUCCUGAAGAGAGGAAUCCAGGAGUCUGAUCAAGAUUCUGCAUGUGGUUCAGGACUGCUCAUCGCUGAGGACGCAUGGUUUAGUAGACUUUUUUUUUUUUUUUUUUUUCUCCUUAAAUAAAUAAUACUGGUAUAAAAGAACAAACUGCAUUUUAUUCUUUGUUUUCUGUGAGUGUUCUAGGCUUUAUGCUGAUGGUUCGCUUCCUAGAAGAUCUGGAUCUGAACCCCUGUCGCACGACAUCUCCAGGAUGUUUCAUAAUAUCUGACUCAAGUUAAUUCACAUUAAGGCCCAGUACAUGCCAUGCCCUGAUGUUCAGCCCAGCACUGCGGUACUGUGCACUGUGUGAAGGCGAGGGUCUCUCUUCCACUGCCAAUCUUCCCGAUUUCCACCCGGAACCGCUUUGCCCCCUUUGAAUGAUUGUGACUGAUCACUGGCCACUUCAUCGUCUGUCUCAUCUGCAGUAAAUCCAUUAACGGCUCCUGUGAUCCUGAAUGCUGAUGAACAUCUGCUGUCGUACUCUGUGGUGGUGAACAUCAGGCUGCAGCAGAUCAGGAGAUCCUGAAAAGUGAUGUCAUGAGCCUGAUCCAAAACAAACUAAAGGACCAUCCUCCACGUACCGACAUGGACCUCAACAGUUCAGUAGAAUGUUUGCUCUAAAUGAAUUAAAACAAUUAAAUGAAUUUAAACAAACUACUUUUUAAUUCCUGGGUUUUCUGUGAGCCUCCUAGGCUGAACUCCUGUCAGACAAAAUUACAUGGUCAAUUUCCUAGAGCUUUUCACACUCUAAGUAACCACACACCAUUAAUACUUAUCAUUUAUAUUGUCAUUAGUAUUUGUCUACAUUUACUGUGGUUGAGGAUUCUGAGCUAGAUGUGUUGAUUCUACCUGACUGAUGGUAGCUCGUGCGAGCUAGGUUUUUGUUAAGUCUCUCUACAGGUCCCUGCAAUCCUCAGCACUGAUGAACAUCUGAACUGUCGUCCUGCAUGCAAUGGUGAACAACAUCAGGCUGCAGCAGAUGGAGGACCUGAAGAGUGGAAUCUAUGAGCCUGAUCAAACGUGUCGUUGGUGAUCCAGAUCAUAAUCCUGGACUGCUCCCUAUGUAUGGAAAAUGACACGGCUUUUCCAUGUUGGACAUCUGCACUUAAACUGAGGUAAAGCUGAUCUCGCCUAGGACUACACCUUCAGGACUCUGCACUAA